UGCCAGCAGCCGCGGUAAUACGGAGGGGGCUAGCGUUGUUCGGAAUUACUGGGCGUAAAGCGCACGUAGGCGGAUCGUUAAGUGAGGGGUGAAAUCCCAGGGCUCAACCCUGGAACUGCCUCUCAUACUGGCGAUCUGGAGUUCGAGAGAGGUGAGUGGAAUUCCCAGUGUAGAGGUGAAAUUCGUAGAUAUUGGGAAGAACACCAGUGGCGAAGGCGGCUAACUGGACCGAUACUGACGCUGAGACGCGAAAGCGUGGGGAGCAAACAGGAUUAGAUA
rnacentral:rRNA from 1 species